rnacentral:lncRNA from 1 species
CCAUCUACUAAAACGCCCCUCUAUUCCCAUACACAUCAGAAACAGAGACCAUCACCCAAGAAAAAACCCCAAGAGACCUAAUGAGAAGACCCCUUCCCCUUAACCUAAAAUCAGCGCCGUUUCCCCUCUUCUUCUUCCUCACUUUCUCAGCUUCAACACACUAGAGACCCUAAAUCCCCUCUCCAUGAAAACCUAGCAGCUUUUCCCCUUUUCCUCCAAGUCAAACCCCUACAAAACACAUACACAAGCACAUGAAAUAGCUGGGUGAAGAGAAUUCCAGUUUGAAAAAUUCAGAUUCAGAUUUGAGAUACAAAAUUCAAAAACAAAGGGGAAUUAGAUGGCUGAUGCGAAAUCUCUUCUUCAACUUUUAUUUUCUUGGCUUUUUCCAAGUGUUUUCGUUGUUCGAUUAAGUUGGUUGCCGUUGUUCAGUACCAGAUUUUGCUUUGCUGAGCUGCUGCUGAUUUCUGACUCAUUAAUUUAGCCUCUAUUUGAUUUUAUCUUCCUCAAACUUAAUUCUAGAGAAAUUAGGUAUGUCUCUUCUCAUAUCUGUAUUUUCAGUUUUAGUUUAAUAUGAAAUCACAAUUAUUUUAGCUCUAUACCACUUGCUUGUUUGGAUUCGCAACGCUGAAUUAGUUCUGGCAUGGAUGAAAUGUCGUUUAUGAUUUGUUAUAGUUAGAUUGUUCUUAUGAAUGUAUUUUAAAUCGCAAGAUCUGGAUUUCGUUUUUGCCUAGCUUAUAUAUACAUAAGAAAGUGUAUCACUAGUUUCUUAUUCUAUUUUUAAAUUUCAUGGAUUAGGAGCAUGAUUUAGAUACCAAUUUUUUUCGUGUGUUGUAAAAAUGGUAAAUCUGCUAUGGUCUCCUUAUGUAUUGUUUUUUUCAUUUAAUUUGGAAUAUUCUAUAGUUGCUUCUUUCUGCGCUCCACACGCCUGUGUAUAAUUGUUGGUCAAAUGUCAUUAUCCCCUCGAUCGAAGGUGGCUGUUUUAUCAAAUGCCUAUUUUUUUUACUGUUCUUCUUCCAAAAAUCAGUAGUCUCUACUUUAACUCAAGGUUGGCUUUAAUAGAAAAGGCAUCAGAUUGUUAACAUAAAAAUGAUUUCACUUUUGAGGAUCUCUACAAAAAAUGGCAUAUAGUUACUUGUUAAUUAACAAGGAUCCUAUCAGAAACAAGGAAAGAGAUCAGUUCUUUGUUAAAUCUUAGAACAGGACUAAGGCUAUCAAUGAUGAAUAAUCCUUAAAGUCAUGAAUAUUUAGUUAUCGAUCUCGUUGGCAGCUUAUAAAGUUACCAUUUGUUUCUUCCAUGAAUGACUUCUAUGACUAUUAGGCCAUCUUUGAUCUCAAAUCUUAGGAAAAUAAUUAAUUCAAGAACAUCGUAGCUUGCUUUAGGCACGAUUAAAUAAAUCAUUGUGACUAUGGGUACAGUUCCCGUUGCAUGGUCACGAUACAUAAUCCUCAAUUCAGGUGCACAUUUUAUGUGACCCGACCAUAACUUCAAACAAUAAUAAAAUGAACAUGUUGCAAAUCGUGGGUGCAUUUCAUGUAGCGUGGUUUGCAAUGUGUUCCAAAACAAACAAGUGUAAGGCAAUCGUAACUUAUUUUAGAAAUAAUUCCAUAAAUAAAUAAAAAGCGGUUAAAAAUGCACAAUAUGUUUAAAAUAUGUAAUAAAUCAAAUAAUUAGGCCAAUUAUUAAUAGUUGAGAAACCGUGCUAAAACCACGGAACCUGGAAAUGCCUAACACCUUCUCCCAGUUUGGUAGAAUUCCUUGCUUGGUCUUCUGUGUUCGCAGACCAAAAAUACAGUCAAUUUACUUGAUUUGGGAUUUAAAAUUAAAUCGGUGACUUGGGACACCAUAACUUAUUCUAAGUGACGACUCUAAAAAUAAAUAAAUAAUUCCAUUUCGAUUAGUGUCACUUUAAUUGGAAAAACUCCCUAUCCCCUUCGGAAAAAUGAGGUGUGACAAUUUCCUCAUUCUCUUUCGUAGAUAAAAACCCUUUUAACGAAAUGGCAAAGACUUCCAAUACCGUUCCCUAGAAAGAAGCUCCUUCUUCUUCGCGGCCGACCACUGAGGUCGAGGAGGUCGCCUCUGAUGUGGUUGUCCUCGAGAGGUCUAUUGCUGAAAUGGCUACCGAUGAACCGCCCGCCGAACCCCCUUGAAGAUGUUCAUUCCGGAGGUUGUUCGGUCAAUGACGAGUUCAAGGUUGAGAAGCCUUCUUCGAGAGAUUUGUUGUUGUAUGAUCCUUUGCCGAUGAUCUCGAUAAUUUGAUAUGGACUUUCCCAGUUCGGCUCCCGCUUCCCUUUGUUCGGGUUCUGGGUGCUUAGUGUCACUUUUCUUAACACCAAGUCCCCUAUAUUGAAGUGUCGGAGGUUGGCUCUCCGAUUGUAAUACCUCACAAUUCGUUGUUUUUGGUCGGCCGACCGAACAAGGGCGGCCUCGCGCCUCUCGUCUAACAGUUCCAGGUUCGUACUCAUGGCCUCAUCAUUUGACUCUUCGAUUGCAUAUCAGAACCUGAGACUCGGUUCUCCUACUUCGAUCGAUAUUAGAGCUUCAGCACCGUAGACCAACGAGAACGGGGUUGCCCUGGUAUUGGAUUUUUAGGUCGUACGAUAUGCCUAUAGGACUUCGGAAAAAAUUUCCUUCCAUUUUCUUUGGUGUCGGUCAACCUCUUUUUGAGGUUUUGGAGUAUGGUUUUGUUUGUGGACUCCGCUUGCCCGUUCCCACUAGGGUGAUAGGGUGUUAAUAGGAUCCUUUUGAUCUUAUGGUCCUAAAAAAACUUUCUUACUUUGCUGCUGAUGAACUACUUCCCACUAUCGCACAUGAUCUCGGCCGGCAUUCCGAACCAGCAUAUUUUGUGGUCCCAAAUGAAAUGAAUAACUUCCUUCUCCCUUACUUUCUCAAAUGCCUGGUCUUCGACACAUUUAGAAAAAUAGUCAGUCAUAAAUAAUAUAAAUUGAGCCUUACUGGAUGCCCAUGACAAAGUGACAACGAUGUCCAUUCCCCAUUUCAUGAAUGGCCAGGGUGACAAGACCGAAUGCAACAACUCCCCGGGCUAAUGAAUCAUUAGAGAAUUCCUCUGACAUCCAUCGCAUUUUCGCACGAACUCCUUCGCGUCUUUUUCCAUGUCGAUCCAGUAGUAACCGGCUCUAAUUACCUUCCAAACCAACGAUUCAGCGCUCGAAUGAUUUCCGCAGGUGCCUUCGUGGACUUCCCUCAAAACAUACUUGGUAUCUCUCGUUCCUAGGCAUAUGGCGAGUGGGCCAUCGAAUGUUCUCCUGAAUAGGGUACCGUCUUCGAACAAGCUGAACCGGGCUGCCUUUGUAUGCAGGGCUCUCGAUUCUUUUGGAUCCGAGGGCAGUUUUCCUGUCUUCAAAUAAUCUAUAUAUUUGUUUCUCCAGUCCCAGGUUAAUCUUAUCGAGUUUACCUCGGCGUGGCCUUAGUCCACUACCGAUUUCAUGAGUUGUACGACCGUUAUCGAGUUAAACUCAUUGUCGUUGACCAACGAUCCUACAUUAGCAAGUGCAUUGGCCUUCCUGUUUUGAUCCCGAGGUACAUGUUGCAAAGUCUAUUCCUUGAAUCGAUGUAACGUCACCUGUAGCUUAUACAGGUACCUUCACAUCUAUUCUUCUUUGACUUCGAACGUUCUAUUUAACUAGUUCACCACAAGGAGGGAAUCACACUUAGCUUCGAUCACCUCAGCCCCCACGAUUUUAGCCAGUUCAAGACUUGCAAUCAUGGCCUCAUACUCGGCCUCGUUGUCAGUCAAUUUCACAGUUCUAGUUGAUUGUCUAACUACAUUGCCCUUCGAUGGCUUCAAUCCAAUGCCAAGCCCGGGCCCUUUUGCGUUCGAGACACCAUCUGUAAAGAGGGUUCGAAUUCCAGAGGAGGUCCCCAAGUUCAACAACAACUCCUUCUCGACCUCAGGAAUUAGGGUCGGGGUGAAGUCAGCCACAAAGUCCGCUAAAAUUUGAGAUUUGAUGGUGGUUCAGGGUCGAUAUUCGAUAUCUUACUCGCUGAUUUCCACGUCCCAUCUGGCCUAUCAUCCCGAGAGUUCGAGCUUAUGCAUUAUGUUCCUCAACGGGUAAGUGGUCACGACACAUAUAGGAUGGCAUUGAAAAUAAGGUUUUAAUUUCCUAGAGGCGCUUAGCAAAGUGAGCGCCAAUUUUUCCAAGUGAGGAUACCUAGUUUCGGCCUCGCCUAGGGUCCUACUCUAACAUAUUAGAUAGGAAAGUGUGUACCUUCCUCUUCCCGUACUAGGACUCCACUUACCGCUAUCUCGGAUACCGCCAGGUAGAGGUACAACUGUUAAUCUGCAUUCAGAGUAUGAAGCAAAGGUGGGAUCAAAAGGUACCACUUGAGUUCUUCCAAGGCUUGUUGACACUCCGGGGUCCAUGAGAAAUUCUUCUUCUUCAAGAACGAGAAGUACCAAUGGUUCUUGUCGGGGGACCUUGAAAUGAAUCGGCCUAGCGCGGCUAUGCGCUCGGUUAACCUUUGUACAAGUUUGACAUUGUCCACAACGGUAAUGUCAUCUAUGGCCUUGAUUUUAUCGGGGUUGAUCUCGAUUCCUCGUAUAGACAUCAUGAACCCGAGAAAUUUCACAGACACGACAGUGGGCGCCAAACUGUUUACCCUCAAGAGUGAAAAACAAUUAAAUUUGUAAGUGAUUUUAAGGAUACACGGAUUAAUUUAAUACAAGGAUAAAUUACAUUAGACUAAACAAAUAAGAUAUGGUAAAUUCAAACCAUGUAAGGAGGGUGUUUCUAGCCUUAAUGAAACAUUCGCCUCUAUCCUGGCUCACAAUGGCUAGUAUUGAUGAGCAAGAAAAAAAAUUUCGAUAACAGUGAAAACAGUAGUGUAUUGCUUUGGAAUACGUGUUACAAUGUCCUUCAGGUAUUAUCAGACCCUCCUUUAUAUAGUAGGGGAAUCUCACUCUAGGUACAAUUCGAUAAGAGGUAAAAAAUCUUCUGUUUAACUGAUUAUCAGCUCAUCAUCGAUAUGUGCCGAGAUCCACGUUGUGAUAUCCGCCCGGUCGAGGAUAUUACAACCUUUUUUUGGUCGUGCUUGAUUGCCUGAGAGUGUUCUUCGAAGUCUUUCGGGGUUUGGACCGAUCCUAAGUGGGGGGGGGGGGGGCCGUCAUGCCCCCGGACUCGGACUUGAUGAGGCCCUUGCCUUGGUUCCAGUCCCUCGUCGUCAUGUCUCGAGCUUGGUUUAUCCUAUCAGAGAUCGGGAUGUACCAUGGAUUUGGUUUUACCCGUAUACCAUCUUUAAUUUUGAAUGUUAUUAAUAGGUUUUGUAAUACUAUUAGUAAUAACGAAAAUAGUUAACCCAUUAUCAAAUAUUAAAGCUACACGUAGAAAUCAUUAAAGUAAGGAAUCGUUUCAUUUAUUGUAUAAACAAAAAUUAUUCAAACAUAAAAUUCUGUUCGAGUACCAUAUUAUUUGGUUGGUUGUAUAAGCAAGAAUAAUCAUGACAAAUUUAAUACGAUGCGUAGUUGGCCUUAUAAAGUUCUACAUAAACUUAAUAUGGAUACUAGGAAUCAAAAACAAAAAAUAUAUUAAACCUAUCAAUCACCGCGUAGCAAUUAAUGAAAUAUUAUUAUUCACCUCUAAUAAUUUCGAAAUUAAAAAGUAAAAAGUGUACUUAACAUUUUUCUUGGUUUUUCUAUCUAGGUUUUUCUCAUUGCACGAUUAGCAUGACUGCUAACCUACUCCUUGCCAGAAAUAGGGAGGGCAAUAGGACGACCAUCCAAAAACGCGUAGAUAACACAAGCUGAUGAAAUUAAACUCAUGGAGGAACAAAGGUCACGCAUUUUGCAUGCAGCAACACCAAAAACACUAUCGAUUGGAGGGAUAAUGUUAG